rnacentral:rRNA from 1 species
UACGGAGGAGGCAAGCGUUGUCCGGAUUUACUGGGCGUAAAGAGCGCGCAGGCGGUCGUCCAAGUCGAAUGUGAAAGCCCCCGGCUCAACUGGGGAGGGUCAUUCGAUACUGUUCGACUCGAAGGCAGGAGAGGGAAGUGGAAUUCCGGGUGUAGUGGUGAAAUGCGUAGAUAUUCGGAAGAACACCAGUGGCGGAAGGAC